GGCGCAGACAGACAGGCGCAGCCGCCAGUCAGGUGCCGAGGCGGAUUCGGGGCCUGGCCAAUGAGACGCGCAGAGGUGGCAGGGGCGGAGCGUCUGCGGCUCGAGGGAGCCCGGCGGAGGUGGGCGCUGAGCCCAGCCUUGGAAUCCCGCGCGUAGGAGCCCCACCUCCGGCGUCUGGGCAAGGACUGUUUCACCAGUAAGACUCCCAAACUUCCACAGACAAGGGAGAGAACCUGAAGCACGAGUGCUUAUUUUUUCAGUCCUUAAGAAGUGUUUCCGCUUACCAGAGACUGAAGUUAUCUGUCUGGCGGGUGGAGCCAGAGCACGCCCACAGCAACUCCCCAGAGAGCGCCCCGGCCCUUCUCAGUAGACACAAAGUCUCUUAAUACAGCUCGUCUCAGGAGGGUAAAGAUGCGUUAAGGAGUAAAGCAGUGGGAUGUCUGGGGCACACUAACAGGAGGGGGAUUGAGGGCUUCGAAGAAAAUGCCAGGUGAAAGCUCUCACACCCGAAGCACCACCCCGGCUCCUAUUCCUGUAAAGAUUUCCGCUGUGAUAGGCGUUUACUUUUCUGUUUAAAGUGGAAGUGGCUUUAGUUACCCCUCAAGACAUGCUUUAAUAGAUUUUUGAAGUCCUCAUGGUAAGAGGACGUUAAAAGAACGUAUUCGAUGACGUGGGAACUGCAAGAGAGCCAGCCCAGCGCCCGCUAAAUCACACCUGGUAUGGCCAACCCCACCUAACCUGUAAGACCCAGUGCGCCUCGCCUGCCUGUGAUUGGGUGUGUCUCAGACUUUACAAUUCAUGACUCAACCUACCUGCAUCAGGACAAAUAAAUUGUCAGCGCUCUCUCUAGGUACCUCCCAUAAACCAACUCAUUCUCAAGUUUGAGACUAUGGACAACACUAAUCAACCAAGGAUCUCCCCAGCUGCUGCCAGAGGAUUCUUCUGAAAGUCAACAUGGAUCAUGUUCUUCCUGUUAAAAGAAGUUGCAGGAGGAGAGGAAGAAGGAAGACUGUGAGGUAAAGAUCAACCUAAAGCACAUUUUUGAGCUGUUUUCCAGGACCCAAAACCCCUCGAGCGAUCAGCCACAGGAAUACCUGAAGCCUAAGGAAUGAUGAUGUUGACCUUUGCUAACUGUCGUAACUUCACACAAAUGAAGAUCAUGAGGCUUAAAGAGAUUAACUACCUGCCUA